rnacentral:rRNA from 1 species
UGAGGAAUAUUGGUCAAUGGACGAGAGUCUGAACCAGCCAAGUAGCGUGAAGGAUGACUGCCCUAUGGGUUGUAAACUUCUUUUAUACGGGAAUAAAGUUAGGCACGUGUGCCUUUUUGUAUGUACCGUAUGAAUAAGGAUCGGCUAACUCCGUGCCAGCAGCCGCGGUAAUACGGAGGAUCCGAGCGUUAUCCGGAUUUAUGGGUUUAAAGGGAGCGUAGACGGAUGCUUAAGUCAGUUGUGAAAGUUUGCGGCUCAACCGUAAAAUUGCAGUUGAUACUGGGUGUCUUGAGUACAGUAGAGGCAGGCGGAAUUCGUGGUGUAGCGGUGAAAUGCUUAGAUAUCACGAAGAACUCCGAUUGCGAAGGCAGCUUGCUGGACUGUAACUGACGCUGAUGCUCGAAAGUGUGGGUAUCAAACAGGAUUAGAUACCCUGGUAGU